rnacentral:rRNA from 1 species
UACGUAGGGGGCGAGCGUUGUCCGGAAUGAUUGGGCGUAAAGGGCGCGUAGGCGGUCUGUUAAGUCUGGCGUUAAAGCCUGGGGCUCAACCCCAGAUCAGCGUUGGAUACUGGCAGGCUAGACGGUUGGAGAGGCGAGUGGAAUUACCAGUGUAGCGGUGGAAUGCGUAGAUAUUAGGAGGAACACCAGUUGCGAAGGCGGCUCUCUGGACUGUAACUGACGCUGAGGCACGAAAGCGUGGGGAGCAAACAGGAUUAGAUACCCCGGUAGUCCCU